UGCUACACCCGAGGGAAGCUCAAUAAAUCCAACUGGCAUUUGAGGGGGAUCUUACAUGAAGAUUUCGGGCAGAAUUGGAAUGAUCGAUUACUCAGGAAGUUCCACAGAGUAUCAAGAAAGCUGCAACUCUAUAGAAAAGGACUGCUCAUCCUUUCCCUCUCUGGGACGAAACCAAAUCCUUUAUUUGGGAAAGUCGGGAAUGGCGCAGAUUCCAUUAUGGAAUGAUCAUCAUGCUGAAAGCAGCUUCUCCCUGACCGCUGCUACUCAAGCCCUUCUGUGAGGUACUAUCCCUGACAGCCGUGGUCUGGAGGAUCUGAUUGAGAGCAUCUGUCCCCGUGCGGGUCCUGGUUUUCUUCUGUGGAUUUUUUCAAAUGGCUUUUAGUAUUCCUAUAAAUUCUCUCUCUCUCUCUCUCUCUCUCUCUCUCUCUCUCUCUCUCUCUCUCUCUCUCUUUCUCUCUCUCUCGCUCUCUCUCCAACUCUCUCCAACUCUCUCUCUGCAUGGUUUAAGUCCUAAGUCUUUAGGCCUAAGCCCUCGUGGGCAGCCAUAAGUAAAGUCUGGGUUUAGCACGUUGCUGGGUCUGGUUGGGGCGGAACCACAGCUUAAUUAACCCAUCACUUGAAGGUCCGUCUACAGCCUAGACCCACGGCCAACCAGCGGGUUUACUGUGGGGCUAGGGGCCAGGUAAAUUACCCCAUCUCACUCAUCUUCUCUCUCUGUCUCGAUCUGUCUCUUGGUUGUCUGUCUGCCUGUCUGUAUCUCUUUGCCUCUACACCUCUAAUUGUUCCUGUUCUUCCCCUUCUCUUUGCCUCUCACUGUCUUUUCAUUUAUUUUCUCUAUCUUUUCCACAAUUGUCUUUCUCUUUGUCUGUAUUUUCUCUGUCCUGAUGUCUUUCUAAUACUGUAUAUGCCAUUUAGCAGACACUUUUAUCCAAAGCGACUUACAGUCAUGCGUGCAUAUGUAACAGGUGUAAAAUAUACUUUAUGUAUUUCACCGAAAAUCCCUCAUAUUUAUUUUAACUUAUUAUUUUAAAGUUAUUUUGAGAUGUAUUACAAUUACUUUCUAGAGUGAACUAUUUUAUUGUAUUUAUUUUCUAAAUUGUGUUAAUGCUGUGAUGUCAUUAACGGGAGCCAUGCUUUUACUUCUCAGUUUGCUCAGAGCGUGAUGAGGGGUAUGUGUUAUGUACGCUCCGGUCUUUUGAAUGCAAAUGUUCGCAAAUGCACAAGAAAAGACAAGCAAAAGGUAUAUUGUCACUGAUUUAGUGUUGCAUGACUGUUUAUAGGAAUAUACUAUAUUAAUGUGAAUAGGGAUAAUGCUCGAGUGAAAUUUUGCAAGGCUAGCCCAGCUACAGUUAGCUUUGUUGCGGGAGAGUGUCUCUUUCAGGUGCAGACAUCAUGAGUUUUCUGAUGAUUUUCUCACAGGCGUUCUGCACUGUCUUUUAUCAGGCAAAUAUACUUAUAUACUUGUAUGGGAGUCCAGACGGCAGCAUUAACUUUUGCCUUGUAUUUGUAUCCAUUCCAUGCAGGUAUGUUGUGAAAUAUGACGAUUUUGUAUUUCAUGUUUAAUGUGCCAAGUUAGCUGUCGUUCAUUUUGUUACCUGUCCAGUCAUGUCAAAAAUGGCAUUGUUGCUUCAUUAGUAUGCCUCAGGUAUAAUGGUAC
rnacentral:lncRNA from 1 species